UACGUAGGGCGCAAGCGUUGUCCGGAAUUAUUGGGCGUAAAGAGCUCGUAGGCGGUCUGUUGCGUCGGGAGUGAAAAACUCAGGGCUUAACCCUGAGCCUGCUUCCGAUACGGGCAGACUAGAGGUAUGCAGGGGAGAACGGAAUUCCUGGUGUAGCGGUGAAAUGCGCAGAUAUCAGGAAGAACACCAAUGGCGAAAGCAGCUCUCUGGGACGGUACUGAGGCUGAGACGCGAAAAGCGUGGGGGAGCGAACAGG
rnacentral:rRNA from 1 species